rnacentral:tRNA from 1 species
GGGGUUGUAGCUCAGUUGAUAGAGUGUUUGCCUAGAAUGCAUGAAGCCUUAGGUUCCAAACUAGCACCCCCA